ACCUUGCUGACGAGUGCCAAAUAGCACGAAAUCUAGGUUCAGGGU
rfam:Schistosoma curassoni strain Dakar, Senegal genome assembly, scaffold: SCTD_contig0010842